AAAGAAGCUUUGGCCUGGAAUCGAACCGUGUUCGAAUUUGAAUCAAGGCGCCAAGUAAAACGCCGCGUUUCAUUUAAAUGAAACGCUGGCCAAUCAGAAACAGGCAUCUGGACCAAUACAUGGACGAAAACAGCAAAACACAUGCAUAUGCGCGCCAUGAGGAUCAAAUGAAAUCUGGAAUUGAAAACCUAGCAAGUUCAUCGUGUUCUUCAUCCAAUUUCCAGAUCAUG
rnacentral:lncRNA from 1 species